UAAUUUUAACUGAAACAUUGCUCUCUCCUUCUGUAAAUUUAAGGGGUUAUGCCACUCUAGGAUUUUCAAAAAAUCGCUUUUUUUUUUUUUGCUUUAAAUAGUUCCUUAGGGUCUCAGAAAUAACAUAUUGCAGGAUUAUGGCUCGGAAAAAUCUCUAAAUAAUUUAUUUUCGAAGUUCCUUGCAAGGCUGCACGGUACGCGGCGAGCUCAUUUUGUCAGUUCUACGGGGGGUGAUCUUUGAAGGAUCUACAGCAGGUAUACGGCAGAUGUUUUCAAAGGCGCUAGUUACUUGCUAGACUAUAGUGGUCAAUUAUAUGGUGCAGGCAUUGCAGAUUAAAGGAGCAGUUAGUUCGGCCACGUACCCCUUGAACCAUAGAGGAGUCGAAGGACGACCGCUACAGCGCCACCAUUCUUCAAGAAAUAUUUAUAAGAAAUUAUUUUUUUACACCUAAAAAGAUGUAUAAUAAACUUCUUAUAUUAUAUUUUUAA